rnacentral:rRNA from 1 species
UACGGGGGGGGGCAAGCGUUGUUCGGAAUUACUGGGCGUAAAGGGCUCGUAGGCGGCCAACUAAGUCGGAUGUGAAAUCCCCAGGCUUAACCUGGGAACUGCAUCCGAUACUGGAUGGCUUGAAUCCGGGAGAGGGAUGCAGAAUUCCAGGUGUAGCGGUGGAAUGCGCAGAUAUCAGGAGGAACACCGGUGGCGAAGGCGGGUCUCUGGGCAGUAACUGACGCUGAGGAGCGAAAGCGUGGGGAGCAAACAGG